UACCUGCUAGUAGUGUCUGCUUAAAAGAUAUUCUUGUAGCUGUCUGGAAGAUCAAGGAUAAUAAUGGCAAUGUAAAUGAAUCUGUGUUGGCCUGCAAAGGUGUAUGCAGGGUUUUUUGCUUGAGCCGAUAAUAAAGUUAGGCCAGUAAAAUCCCCAAAGUGGAUUGAUGCACAGGCAAAUAACAGCUUGGGCAACUUUUGAUAACCUCAUGGGACCUGCUCCUCUCCAGUCACCUCUCCUCCUGACAUAGUGCUUAUUAAGUACAGCUCAGCUUUGUCAGGCUAGUCUGACUGAAGAGAGUUUACUCUCUUGUAAGUCCUUGAGGAAAGCUUUAGUUCUUUGCUCUGGGUUUAUUGUUGCUUGGUUACAGACACUUGAGCUGGGAAAUGUAAAAGGAGUUCAGAUAUGUUUAUGUGAACUCUCAUGACAUGCAUAGGUAAAUGUAUGUCCUUUAGAAGGAGAACAUUAAUCACAAUAGGAAGGCAGAUGUGGAUAUGCUGGCUGCAUUGUGCUGGAUCAGUUUUUUCCUGUGAAAAUAUCAGAUUUGAUUGUAAAGGUUAAAGAAAAGAGGGAUGCAACAAGAAAUGCAGGAAUAAAAGUUUCGGUAACACUGCCUUCUACUCCAUGGAGGAAAAGAUAGUGAGGUGUAUGCAUGGCUGCGUUAGCUAGUCAGGAGUGUGUAGACAGGAUCAGUAUAUUUUGUUUAGAGAAGGCUAGAGGUAGUUUUAUGUAAGUGAAUGUUGAGUACAUCUUAGCUAUUUGAGCAUGUGGUUUUAUUUUCCCUUUGUUUUGUUGAGGUCUUAAAACUCUCUGCUACCCUUUGGAGAAUGUUCAAAAGGCUCUAAAGAGAGAAGAUGCAAGAAAGGACAUUCUUGAUGCCUAUUUCCAUGGCAUGACCUUGUUGCCAAAGAGGAAGGAGAAGAUCAUGGGCAGAACAGAGCAUGAAAGAGCUUUUCUUUGGGUAACAACAGUGUGAAGUGAAAUCUUUGUCAUCUCCUCCAUCCAGAGUUUUGUUCUACUCAUUUUCUAUAUUUGCUUCAGCUUAUUACUUGAAGGGAUUGAAGACUGUAACUUGUCCUAGCAAAAAAAUCUCUCUAAGAUGCUUCAGGUAAGUCCUUAUAAGAUCUUACCAGGCAGUUUAUCUAACUGUUCUGAUCAGUGUCUUCCUCAGUCCAAAGAGAAACAUGAAUGCCUUUCCCACUGAGGGAAAGUCCUCUCUCACUCUCCAGAUUAAAACAGAUCUAUGACUCCUCCAGCAUUUUCUUCAUGACUGCCACUGCUACGUUGCAGCACACCUGCCAUCUGAACAUGCACUGGAAGAUGGAAUCGUCUGACAGGCAUGUUGCCAAUGAAGAUGCUCAGUUUCAAUACCAACCUGUUUGUGUGUGGAACCCAGCUAUGACAAGACAGUACAAACUAUAUGUUACACAAUUAAAAAUUUGUUGAAA